AGGCGAAACCCCUUCGGGGGUCGGGCGGGGUGGUUCCCCGUCCCUGAUGAGCCAACCAACA
rnacentral:hammerhead_ribozyme from 1 species